CUACGGGAGGCAGCAGUGAGGAAUAUUGGUCAAUGGACGCAAGUCUGAACCAGCCAUGCCGCGUGAAGGAAGAAGGCCCUAAGGGUUGUAAACUUCUUUUGUACGGGGGUAAUUUUCGGCUCGUGAGCUGAAUUGAAAGUACUGUACGAAUAAGCGUCGGCUAACUACGUGCCAGCAGCCGCGGUAAUACGUAGGACGCAAGCGUUAUCCGGAUUCAUUGGGUUUAAAGGGUGCGUAGGCGGGCCUUUAAGUCAGCGGUGAAAGACUGUCGCUUAACGAUAGCAUUGCCAUUGAUACUGGAGGCCUUGAGUGCAAAUGAGGUAGGCGGAAUGUGUAGUGUAGUGGUGAAAUACUUAGAUAUUACACAGAACACCGAUUGCGAAGGCAGCUUACUAAACUGCAACUGACGCUGAGGCACGAAAGCGUGGGGAUCAAACAGGAUUAGAUACCCCGGUAGA
rnacentral:rRNA from 1 species